GGAGAGAGAAGAAAAUAAGAGAGAUAAUCAUUUUUCAUUUUUCAUCCUAAUGCAUACAAAUAAAUCCUUCCAAAUUGGAAUAAUGAGAUGAGAAAAAAUAAAAGAAAUGUGUAUGUUAGCUCAAAAGUGUGCAUUUCUGUAACUCCCUAUACUUGGCUCAGUCGUCGAGCCUGAAUAAUAGGACGCUACAGCAAACAUCACAAAUGCUUACAUUUCACACGAUCUCAUCUACAUACAAUCAUUGUCACUGUACAAGCCCAAUUUCGCCAGGGCCUAAACAAACAAAACAGAAAAUACCAGCCCACUACCCAAAAUAACAGACCCAAACCAAUUACAAGCCCAAUUACCCAAACCCAUUUCCAGCAGCCCAAAACAAACAAAACAAAAAAUCAGCAAACCCUAGCCCUCAUAAGCCUCCUAGCGCCGUACGCCCCUGCCAUGCCUAGCUACCACCGCUGUUUUCCCCAUGCGUCCCAUCCUCUGCUCCUCUGUCGCUGCCCACUCGCCAUCAGUCCCUGCAAAGUAAAAGAAACACGCAACCAAGCAGAAGAAAAUAGAAGAAAAAGAAAAAACAAGUCUUUUUUCAGCUAUAAGAGUCGAACUUCAAUGUAGAAAAAGGGGGGCUUCAUCAUUGUAAUCGGGGGGAGUUUUCUUUUGAUUUUUUCUUUCGGCUACAAAGCCGAAUAUGCUGUAAAAAAGGGGGUGUUUUUCUUUUGGAAAAGAAAUAAAUAAAACAGCAGAUUUCAAGCAAAAAAAGCAAAGAUUCAAACAUCAAAAAAGGAAAAGCAAAGGUUUUUUUUAGUUUUCCAAAACUCUUUUAUUUAUUUAUUUAUUAUUAUUAUUUACUGCUGUUUUGUUUUAAUGUAUAUGUACACAUAUAUGUAAAAAAAUAAAAAAAAGGGUACCUUCCGAACUUUCCGGCUACCGUGGACGGUGACCGGCGCGGCGGCGCUACGGCGGUCCCUCGCCGGUUUCUGGGCUUUGGCCAGAGAGAACAAAAAAAAGAGAGGAUAUUUGGUUGUUUUUUUUGAGAGAACGAAGAAGAAUGAAAUUUUAAAAAAAAAAAAAAGACUUAAAUAGGCUUCCAAAACGACGUCGUUUUAGACAGCCUUCUCAGGCACCAAAACGGCGCCGUUUUGGCAUGACCCGUACCCGACCCGAUCGGUAAGCCUAGGAUCCGCG
rnacentral:lncRNA from 1 species